CCCUGCCCACUUUCUUUCUCCCUGGCUUCCUAGUAGAACCAAGGCUGACCUGUUUUCUGGUACAACCCUCCUCUCCUGAAAAGGCAGGUCAGGGGUGGGGUUGGAAGGGAGUUGGCAAGGAAAUACUGAGAGCAAAUUUCCUUCCCGUUUUCCAGAAUCUUUGGGGCCGCUUUGUGACCGAUAGCCUAUUGGGUUUCCUAUCUGCUCUAGAUCCUGCGCUGACCUCCAAGGUAGCCACUUCUAAACCCUCCCUUGUUUCUAGAGGCUUUGUCUGUUUUCAUCUUCUGACAAGCCAGCCUCCUCUCUUGGUCCCUGCUUUCCUCUCUUGGCCAUUGUUGCAACUGAUCUUGGCUCCAGUUUUGGAAAAUUCUGCUCUUGGCACCUCACCCUCUGUCCCCGUUGCUGCAUGGCCUUCCUGAGUCUCAGCCACUUAGGCUCUUACAGAUACACCACACUUCAUACCGUGAGCAGAGCUCCUCGGGGGAAGCACCUUGGCCUGGCCUUGGCCUUCGCCUUCCCGCAGGAACGUGUCUGCCCACGGCAUUCUCACCGGCACGUUCUUUUACACCAAGAAAAUCUCCAGUUGUUGUCUUUGUUGUUUUAGGCCCAUGACAAAGGGGUUCCGCUCCUUAAUACACUAAACAUUCGUUACGUGCCAUAAAGCCGUGUUUGCCAUUCUGGAUGGUUAAACAUUUACAGAAGGAGCAGGGCCGAGUGUGUUUUGACUGGCCGAAUAACCUCUCUUUAUUGCCAUCCUCCAACCUGACCAGGAAAUAGCCGCCGUGUGUCCAUUCUCUGUGACAAUCUUUCCAGGGGAGCCUAUAAAGUGAGAAGGAACAGUUCCUCGGGGCUCGGGGCCUGAGGGGAGGGAAUCGUCCUUCCUCCUCCCAUCCCAGCUCGCCAGCCUCACCUGGCUGUACUCACGGGGCCGUGGCAAAAGCCACCUGGGAGGGCCGAACAUGUCUAACAGCUGCUAUCGGGCUGCUGCUUGCGAAAUUCACAGCACGUUAGAGGGAGCCGAAGAGGUAAACCGGAAGGAAGCCCACCCGGGAGCCGGUCCAGUGAAGGGCAUAGUAAACUGUUUUCCAGGCGGGCUGUGGCAGCUAGAAGGACCUCUGAGCCGGUUUGAAGGCUGGGAAGUCCAAGAUCAAGGUGCCCGCCAAUUCAGUUCCUGGCUUGGGGGUCACGGAAGUGGAAGGUCCUGGGACCCAUAUCCGAGAUCGAUGUAAGUAUUUCGGUGAGAUUGCUACUAUAUCCGUUUUUACAAGUUGCCCUGGAGCAAAUGCUUCUCAAACCACCUGUGGAGAAGGACCAUUUUUUAAAAAAUUUCUAAUCUGUCCCAGACCAAUACUUUUGUAAAAUACAAGGAAAAAAUGAAUUACUAGAAAAAUAAAAUGAAAAAAAAAAACCCAGCCAUUUGUUUUUAUGAUGA